rnacentral:rRNA from 1 species
UACGAAGGGGGCUAGCGUUGCUCGGAAUUACUGGGCGUAAAGGGAGCGUAGGCGGAUAGUUCAGUCAGAGGUGAAAGCCCAGGCUCAACCUUGGAAUUGCCUUUGAUACUGGCUGUCUUGAGUAUGGGAGAGGUUAGCGGAACUCCGAGUGUAGAGGUGAAAUUCGUAGAUAUUCGGAAGAACACCAGUGGCGAAGGCGG